CCUACGGGGGGCAGCAGUGAGGAAUAUUGGUCAAUGGGCUUACGCCUGAACCAGCCAAGUCGCGUGAGGGAAGACUGCCCUAUGGGUUGUAAACUUCUUUUGUCAGGGAGCAACGCCGGCUACGUGUAGCCGGACUGAGAGUACCUGAAGAAAAAGCAUCGGCUAACUCCGUGCCAGCAGCCGCGGUAAUACGGAGGAUGCGAGCGUUAUCCGGAUUUAUUGGGUUUAAAGGGUGCGUAGGCGGAAUGCCAAGUCAGCGGUAAAAUCGCGGGGCUCAACCUCGCUCCGCCGUUGAAACUGGAGAUCUUGAGUAGGCGAGAGGUAUGCGGAAUGCGAGGUGUAGCGGUGAAAUGCAUAGAUAUAACGAAGAACUCCGAUUGCGAAGGCAGCAUACCGGCGCGCAACUGACGCUGAAGCACGAAAGCGUGGGUAGCGAACAGGAUUAGAUACCCUUGUAGUC
rnacentral:rRNA from 1 species